ensembl:lncRNA
GUACCCUUGGCUGGCGAUCUUGUUUGCGCUGCACUCACCGAGCGGGGGAUGGGGGGACGCAGGGUGGGAGCUCGGCCCCCUAGCUGGGCUCCCCCCCGGGGGCCCCCAAUCGCUCACAUGGCGGGGGAGGCGGGGAGCCCCUCGGCCUGGGUGCCUUAAGCUGGAGACUCAACUUCUUGGAACCCACCCAGAACACCAUUCAGAUGCAAGUGACUGACGCUUUUAAAGGGCGGCGGAUCUUCUAAGAGUGAAAGGAAUCGGAAAGUCCGGAUUGCGAAGUGAUUUCUAAAGCAACCACAACCGUGUCCUCACGUCUGAGAUUGUUCGGUUGGUCAGAAAGUUCGUUCGGAGUUUUCCAGGCGAUCCUACGGAAAAGCCCAAACGAGCUUUUUGGUCAACCCAGUAUUUCGGCAUUUCUCUGCUCCCCUUUGCAACUUGACAUUUACCUAACUGUGCUCCUGAGCAAGGUGAUGGAAGUUAAAACAGGAUGGACAGGCUGUUAUAUCUGAAACAAAGGGUCUUUAACUGCCCUCCCUAUCCUUCUUUUGUUCUGGAUCAAAGUUACACAUUUUACUGGAAAGUAAUCUCCGGUUCUAACAGUGCCCAACAGCAAUUGUGCACAACAGUUUUCUUAGGCAUCUAUGCUACAGGUCGAAUGCCCCCACUUAAU